rnacentral:rRNA from 1 species
GAUGAACGCUGGCGGCGUGCCUAAUACAUGCAAGUCGAGCGAACGGACGAGAAGCUUGCUUCUCUGAUGUUAGCGGCGGACGGGUGAGUAACACGUGGAUAACCUACCUAUAAGACUGGGAUAACUUCGGGAAACCGGAGCUAAUACCGGAUAAUAUUUUGAACCGCAUGGUUCAAAAGUGAAAGACGGUCUUGCUGUCACUUAUAGAUGGAUCCGCGCUGCAUUAGCUAGUUGGUAAGGUAACGGCUUACCAAGGCAACGAUGCAUAGCCGACCUGAGAGGGUGAUCGGCCACACUGGAACUGAGACACGGUCCAGACUCCUACGGGAGGCAGCAGUAGGGAAUCUUCCGCAAUGGGCGAAAGCCUGACGGAGCAACGCCGCGUGAGUGAUGAAGGUCUUCGGAUCGUAAAACUCUGUUAUUAGGGAAGAACAUAUGUGUAAGUAACUGUGCACAUCUUGACGGUACCUAAUCAGAAAGCCACGGCUAACUACGUGCCAGCAGCCGCGGUAAUACGUAGGUGGCAAGCGUUAUCCGGAAUUAUUGGGCGUAAAGCCGCGCGUAGGCGGUUUUUUAAGUCUGAUGUGAAAGCCCACGGCUCAACCGUGGAGGGUCAUUGGAAACUGGAAAACUUGAGUGCAGAAGAGGAAAGUGGAAUUCCAUGUGUAGCGGUGAAAUGCGCAGAGAUAUGGAGGAACACCAGUGGCGAAGGCGACUUUCUGGUCUGUAACUGACGCUGAUGUGCGAAAGCGUGGGGAUCAAACAGGAUUAGAUACCCUGGUAGUCCACGCCGUAAACGAUGAGUGCUAAGUGUUAGGGGGUUUCCGCCCCUUAGUGCUGCAGCUAACGCAUUAAGCACUCCGCCUGGGGAGUACGACCGCAAGGUUGAAACUCAAAGGAAUUGACGGGGACCCGCACAAGCGGUGGAGCAUGUGGUUUAAUUCGAAGCAACGCGAAGAACCUUACCAAAUCUUGACAUCCUUUGACAACUCUAGAGAUAGAGCCUUCCCCUUCGGGGGACAAAGUGACAGGUGGUGCAUGGUUGUCGUCAGCUCGUGUCGUGAGAUGUUGGGUUAAGUCCCGCAACGAGCGCAACCCUUAAGCUUAGUUGCCAUCAUUAAGUUGGGCACUCUAAGUUGACUGCCGGUGACAAACCGGAGGAAGGUGGGGAUGACGUCAAAUCAUCAUGCCCCUUAUGAUUUGGGCUACACACGUGCUACAAUGGACAAUACAAAGGGCAGCGAAACCGCGAGGUCAAGCAAAUCCCAUAAAGUUGUUCUCAGUUCGGAUUGUAGUCUGCAACUCGACUACAUGAAGCUGGAAUCGCUAGUAAUCGUAGAUCAGCAUGCUACGGUGAAUACGUUCCCGGGUCU